rnacentral:rRNA from 1 species
GGGUUGUGAGGUUAAGCGACUAAGCGUACACGGUGGAUGCCCUGGCAGUCAGAGGCGAUGAAGGGCGUGCUAAUCUGCGAUAAGCGCCGGUAAGGUGAUAUGAACCGUUAUAACCGGCGAUACCCGAAUGGGGAAACCCAGUGUGACUCGUCACACUAUCAUUAACUGAAUCCAUAGGUUAAUGAGGCGAACCGGGGGAACUGAAACAUCUAAGUACCCCGAGGAAAAGAAAUCAACCGAGAUUCCCCCAGUAGCGGCGAGCGAACGGGGAGGAGCCCAGAGCCUGAAUCAGCAUGUGUGUUAGUGGAAGCGUCUGGAAAGGCGCGCGAUACAGGGUGACAGCCCCGUACACAAAAGCGCAUGUGCUGUGAGCUCGAUGAGUAGGGCGGGACACGUGGUAUCCUGUCUGAAUAUGGGGGGACCAUCCUCCAAGGCUAAAUACUCCUGACUGACCGAUAGUGAACCAGUACCGUGAGGGAAAGGCGAAAAGAACCCCGGCGAGGGGAGUGAAAAAGAACCUGAAACCGUGUACGUACAAGCAGUGGGAGCCCCACCACCAAAGCAUUUGCUGUACCGUGUUGACGGAGCGAAGCGACGUCAAACCGAUAAAACAGCAGUGUAAAGUGAGCCGCAGGGCGCUUUGCGCGACAGCGCAAAGGCAGGCGGUUUCGCGUAGCGAAAGCGAAUGCUUUGGGGUGGGGUGACUGCGUACCUUUUGUAUAAUGGGUCAGCGACUUAUAUUCUGUAGCAAGGUUAACCGAAUAGGGGAGCCGGAGGGAAACCGAGUCUUAAUUGGGCGUUAAGUUGCAGGGUAUAGACCCGAAACCCGGUGAUCUAGCCAUGGGCAGGUUGAAGGUUGGGUAACACUAACUGGAGGACCGAACCGACUAAUGUUGAAAAAUUAGCGGAUGACCUGUGGCUGGGGGUGAAAGGCCAAUCAAACCGGGAGAUAGCUGGUUCUCCCCGAAAGCUAUUUAGGUAGCGCCUCGUGAAUUCAUCUCCGGGGGUAGAGCACUGUUUCGGCUAGGGGGCCAUCCCGGCUUACCAACCCGAUGCAAACUGCGAAUACCGGAGAAUGUUAUCACGGGAGACACACGGCGGGUGCUAACGUCCGUCGUGAAGAGGGAAACAACCCAGACCGCCAGCUAAGGUCCCAAAGUCAUGGUUAAGUGGGAAACGAUGUGGGAAGGCCCAGACAGCCAGGAUGUUGGCUUAGAAGCAGCCAUCAUUUAAAGAAAGCGUAAUAGCUCACUGGUCGAGUCGGCCUGCGCGGAAGAUGUAACGGGGCUAAACCAUGCACCGAAGCUGCGGCAGCGACACUGUGUGUUGUUGGGUAGGGGAGCGUUCUGUAAGCCUGUGAAGGUGUGUCGUGAGGCAUGCUGGAGGUAUCAGAAGUGCGAAUGCUGACAUAAGUAACGAUAAAGCGGGUGAAAAGCCCGCUCGCCGGAAGACCAAGGGUUCCUGUCCAACGUUAAUCGGGGCAGGGUGAGUCGACCCCUAAGGCGAGGCCGAAAGGCGUAGUCGAUGGGAAACGGGUUAAUAUUCCCGUACUUGGUGUUACUGCGAAGGGGGGACGGAGAAGGCUAUGUUGGCCGGGCGACGGUUGUCCCGGUUUAAGCGUGUAGGUGUGUGUUCCAGGUAAAUCCGGUUCACUUUAACACUGAGGCGUGACGACGAGGCACUACGGUGCUGAAGCAACAAAUGCCCUGCUUCCAGGAAAAGCCUCUAAGCAUCAGGUAACAUCAAAUCGUACCCCAAACCGACACAGGUGGUCAGGUAGAGAAUACCAAGGCGCUUGAGAGAACUCGGGUGAAGGAACUAGGCAAAAUGGUGCCGUAACUUCGGGAGAAGGCACGCUGACACGUAGGUGAAGUGAUUUACUCAUGGAGCUGAAGUCAGUCGAAGAUACCAGCUGGCUGCAACUGUUUAUUAAAAACACAGCACUGUGCAAACACGAAAGUGGACGUAUACGGUGUGACGCCUGCCCGGUGCCGGAAGGUUAAUUGAUGGGGUCAGCGCAAGCGAAGCUCCUGAUCGAAGCCCCGGUAAACGGCGGCCGUAACUAUAACGGUCCUAAGGUAGCGAAAUUCCUUGUCGGGUAAGUUCCGACCUGCACGAAUGGCGUAAUGAUGGCCAGGCUGUCUCCACCCGAGACUCAGUGAAAUUGAACUCGCUGUGAAGAUGCAGUGUACCCGCGGCAAGACGGAAAGACCCCGUGAACCUUUACUAUAGCUUGACACUGAACAUUGAGCCUUGAUGUGUAGGAUAGGUGGGAGGCUUUGAAGUGUGGACGCCAGUCUGCAUGGAGCCGACCUUGAAAUACCACCCUUUAAUGUUUGAUGUUCUAACGUGGACCCGUUACCCGGGUUGCGGACAGUGUCUGGUGGGUAGUUUGACUGGGGCGGUCUCCUCCUAAAGAGUAACGGAGGAGCACGAAGGUUGGCUAAUCCUGGUCGGACAUCAGGAGGUUAGUGCAAUGGCAUAAGCCAGCUUGACUGCGAGCGUGACGGCGCGAGCAGGUGCGAAAGCAGGUCAUAGUGAUCCGGUGGUUCUGAAUGGAAGGGCCAUCGCUCAACGGAUAAAAGGUACUCCGGGGAUAACAGGCUGAUACCGCCCAAGAGUUCAUAUCGACGGCGGUGUUUGGCACCUCGAUGUCGGCUCAUCACAUCCUGGGGCUGAAGUAGGUCCCAAGGGUAUGGCUGUUCGCCAUUUAAAGUGGUACGCGAGCUGGGUUUAGAACGUCGUGAGACAGUUCGGUCCCUAUCUGCCGUGGGCGCUGGAGAACUGAGGGGGGCUGCUCCUAGUACGAGAGGACCGGAGUGGACGCAUCACUGGUGUUCGGGUUGUCAUGCCAAUGGCACUGCCCGGUAGCUAAAUGCGGAAGAGAUAAGUGCUGAAAGCAUCUAAGCACGAAACUUGCCCCGAGAUGAGUUCUCCCUGAGACUUAGAGUCUCCUGAAGGAACGUUGAAGACGACGACGUUGAUAGGCCGGGUGUGUAAGCGCAGCGAUGCGUUGAGCUAACCGGUACUAAUGAACCGUGAGGCUUAACCUUACAACGCCGAAG